rnacentral:rRNA from 1 species
CAGCCGCCGCGGUAAUACGAAGGGUGCAAGCGUUACUCGGAAUUACUGGGCGUAAAGCGUGCGUAGGUGGUGGUUUAAGUCCGUUGUGAAAGCCCUGGGCUCAACCUGGGAAUUGCAGUGGAUACUGGGUCACUAGAGUGUGGUAGAGGAUAGUGGAAUUUCCGGUGUAGCAGUGAAAUGCGUAGAGAUCUGGAGGAAUACCGAUGGCGAAGGCAGCCAUCUGGCCUAAUACUGACGCUGAGGUACGAAAGCAUGGGGAGCAAACAGGAUUAGAUACCCCAGUAGUCCCUGUCUCUUAUAC